GGAGUUUGGGCCGUGUCUCAGUCCCAAUGUGGCCGUUCACCCUCUCAGGCCGGCUACUGAUCGUCGACUUGGUGAGCCGUUACCUCAUCAACUAUCUAAUCAGACGCGGGUCCAUCUUACACCGAUAAAUCUUUGGCACAAAAGGGAUGCCCCUCCCGUGCGUCAUGCGGUAUUAGCAGCCGUUUCCGGCUGUUGUCCCCCCUCUUCAAGGCAGGUUCCUCACGCGUUACUCACCCGUCCGCCACUUUCCUCCGCUUCCAUUGUCCGAAAACUCUUUCCACGGAUUCUCGUUCGACUUGCAUGUGUUAAGCACGCCGCCAGCGUUCGUCCUGAGCCAGGAUCAAACUACU
rnacentral:rRNA from 1 species